UGAGCUGCUUCUUGUCCGUGGUCUACAA
rnacentral:misc_RNA from 1 species